rnacentral:rRNA from 1 species
UACGCUGGCGNCACGCCUAACACAUGCAAGUCGAACGAAGUAGCAAUACUUAGUGGCGAACGGGUGAGUAUAAUGUGGGUAUCUGCCCUUUGGUUUGGAAUAACACGAGGAAACUUGUGCUAAUACCGGAUAAGCCUUCACAGGGAAAGCUUUAGCGCCAAAGGAUGAGCCUGCACUUGAUUAGCUAGUUGGUAAGGUAAUGGCUUACCAAGGCAACGAUCAAUAGCUGUUCUAAGAGGAAGACCAGCCACAUUGGGACUGAGACACGGCCCAAACUCCUACGGGAGGCAGCAGUGGGGAAUCUUGCACAAUGGGGGAAACCCUGAUGCAGCGAUGCCGCGUGAGUGAAGAAGGCCCUUGGGUUGUAAAGCUCUUUCGUCGGGGAAGAAAAUGACUGUACCCGAAUAAGAAGGUCCGGCUAACUUCGUGCCAGCAGCCGCGGUAAUACGAAGGGACCUAGCGUAGUUCGGAAUUACUGGGCUUAAAGAGCACGUAGGUGGUUAAGAAAGUUGGUGGUGAAAUCCCAAGGCUUAACCUUGGAACUGCCACCAAAACUUUUUAACUAGAGUAUGAUUGAGGUAAGCGGAAUUUCUAGUGUAGAGGUGAAAUUCGUAGAUAUUAGAAAGAACACCAAUUGCGAAGGCAGCUUUCUGGAUCAUUACUGACACUGAGGUGCGAAAGCAUGGGUAGCGAAGAGGAUUAGAUACCCUCGUAGUCCAUGCCGUAAACGAUGUGUGCUAGACGUUGGGAAUUUAUUUUUCAGUGUCGCAGCUAAAGCGUUAAGCACACCGCCNGGGGAGUAC